rnacentral:lncRNA from 1 species
CUCCAACAAAGAGGCAGGGCAUGUUUGCCUUCCGUUUUCUCCCUUUUUGCUAGAGGACAUCUUUUGUAACCUCGCGUUCAUAUCCAGACCAAAGUGAUCGCGUCGACUCCGACGAAGUGUGUCUCUGCGAACUUCCCUCGCGUGGCAUGCACGGCCGUCCACGCUGUGUGACCGUGCACGGCGUCAAGUUGACUGCACAUCUCCUGGGUGAACCGAGGGCCAGGGAAACGAAGAGACACUCACAACCUCAAGUAGAUAACCCUCUGGUAAUUGUCGGUUCCCCAAAAUAGAUCAAAGACGGACGCUCCCUUCGGCGGCCGUUUCUCACGCGCAACGGGUCCCGCCGGGUCACUCAGGCUGCAGGUUGACGCGCCGCUGGCCCGAGGUCACUAAGUUGCAAGUGGUGUGACAAAAAGUUUUAUCCCCAACUGUGCUCGAGUGGACAUACGUUUGCAUCCACUUGGAAGUGGAGCUGGCGGUGUUUGUAACUGAUGGCGGCUGCAGCAUGUCUUGCCAACGCGUGGUCCGGCUACGAGCUCCUGGAGUAUCAGCUGCAUCAAUGUGAUCGAAGUCAUGCUCCAGUGAACCCAGCGACCGCUUGCUCCAUACUACGGCUGAUUCUGCAUUUCUGAGCGUUGCUUUGCAGUCGGAAAUAGGAAAAUGGGCGUACAGCACGAGCUCGCUGUCAACACCGAGUCAGCUGUUUUAAACUUGCAGGCAAUGGACCGAAACAAGGCUGUGGUCACUACCGCCAAAUGUGGUGUUGUUGGUACCAAAUCCCUGAAACCAGAAGUCUGCAAGACCAGUGGCAAAUCUCGCGGUUGAUUGCAUUGCACCGGAGAAUAUAUGGAAGGGGCCUGUCAGAAAGGCGUUGUAACACGGCCACCGUCACUUCGUGAACAGCUUUGGAGGUUGGGGGCAUCGUGCGUCUAACUCGAGAGUGUAGGUCUUUUCCCUGAACUGGUGAAUGCCGCUUUCGUGCCCCGGAUCGAUCGUGGUGACUCUUAGGUGGUAAGACGAACACAGCCAUUUACAACCACGGAAUGUCAAUGUGUGUACCCCCAUCGCUUGGGUUCUUCUAGAGGAACGAGGAGCCGGCGCAGCUGCCACACGACGAAUCAGCUCGGCCAUUUUCCUCGUGUUCUAUGCACCAGACCGCUUUAACGGUUUGUGAGUGCGAGUCUGCCAGACUCUUGAUUUUUCCUGAAAGACGGCACACUGCAGUUCCUCGGACCUUACCGGACUCGUUUAACAGGGAAAGCGUCAGCAGGUAUGGAGAAUCUCAAAACAUAAGCACAAGACAUCGAACUCAUGAUGCAGGUGUUCAACGGGGACACUAAAUAAGAACAGAGAUGUACCGUAAAAGGAUCCAGAGGUGCCUGCAAGUGGCAUUGUCGAUAUUUUCCUGCCUACAACACGUUCUUUGGGUUUUCUUGAUGCGAAAAACACCG